ACGAACGCUGGCGGCGUGCCUCAUCCAUGCAAGUUGAGCGCUGAAGGUUGGUACUUGUACCAACUGGAUGAGCAGCGAACGGGUGAGUAACGCGUGGGGAAUCUGCCUUUGAGCGGGGGACAACAUUUGGAAACGAAUGCUAAUACCGCAUAAAAACUUUAAACACAAGUUUUAAGUUUGAAAGAUGCAAUUGCAUCACUCAAAGAUGAUCCCGCGUUGUAUUAGCUAGUUGGUGAGGUAAAGGCUCACCAAGGCGAUGAUACAUAGCCGACCUGAGAGGGUGAUCGGCCACAUUGGGACUGAGACACGGCCCAAACUCCUACGGGAGGCAGCAGUAGGGAAUCUUCGGCAAUGGACGAAAGUCUGACCGAGCAACGCCGCGUGAGUGAAGAAGGUUUUCGGAUCGUAAAACUCUGUUGGUAGAGAAGAACGUUGGUGAGAGUGGAAAGCUCAUCAAGUGACGGUAACUACCCAGAAAGGGACGGCUAACUACGUG
rnacentral:rRNA from 1 species